rnacentral:rRNA from 1 species
GAUGAACGCUGGCGGCGUGCCUAAUACAUGCAGGUCGAGCGAACAGAUGAGGAGCUUGCUCCUCUGACGUUAGCGGCGGACGGGUGAGUAACACGUGGAUAACCUACCUAUAAGACUGGGAUAACUUCGGGAAACCGGAGCUAAUACCGGAUAAUAUAUUGAACUGCAUGGUUCAAUAGUGAAAGACGGUUUUGCUGUCACUUAUAGAUGGAUCCGCGCCGCAUUAGCUAGUUGGUAAGGUAACGGCUUACCAAGGCAACGAUGCGUAGCCGACCUGAGAGGGUGAUCGGCCACACUGGAACUGAGACACGGUCCAGACUCCUACGGGAGGCAGCAGUAGGGAAUCUUCCGCAAUGGGCGAAAGCCUGACGGAGCAACGCCGCGUGAGUGAUGAAGGUCUUCGGAUCGUAAAACUCUGUUAUUAGGGAAGAACAAAUGUGUAAGUAACUAUGCACGUCUUGACGGUACCUAAUCAGAAAGCCACGGCUAACUACGUG